rnacentral:misc_RNA from 1 species
UAAAGCAUUCCCAUUUCUUUGUACAGCAUAUCUUGAUCCAAUUAGAAGGUGGAUUAAAGAUCCCAAAGAAUGACCAAUACCGAAUAUAGGAAGUUCAUUUACAGUGUCGUGCAAAGUUCGAAGACACCGAUCAAAUUUGAAUUGUACCUCAUCUGCAAUAAAGAAGUGAUCGAAACCGCUAGCAAAGGGCGUGGCAAUUAUUAAAACACCCUCCUCAGACAGUUUCUCAAGAAAAAAACGGUAUGUUAGUUGAGGUGCAGCUCCAACGAAAAUACCGCCAACAAAAUGGACCACUGAUCUUGGCCUUAUGUUUUUUGGUUUGAG